UACGAGUGCCCUAAGCGUUAUCCGGAAUCACUGGGCUUACAGGGUGCGUAGGCGGCUCAACAAGUCAGGUGUGAAAGCCCCCGGCUCAACCGGGGGAACUGCGCUUGAAACUGUUAGGCUCGAGUCAGCUAGAGGUACACGGAACUUCCAGUGGAGCGGUGAAAUGCGUAGAUAUCAGGAGGAAUACCGAUGGCGAAGGCAGGUCUCUGGGCUGACACUGACGCUCAUGCACGAA
rnacentral:rRNA from 1 species